CUGAUUCGACGACAGGGCUCCAUUGGUCUCUGAGUUGAACUGAAUGCCCAUUAUUUUAAAAGGAUGAUGUACCUGUACCAUAAAUAGAAACCUGAAGCUGUCACAGAUGUACCGGUUUCCUAAUGCAGCUGAGAAACUAGAAGUAAACCUUUGGUUGGUUACUAUGAGCAAACUCAAUCACCUUUUGUACCUCCGAAUAGGAAGACUGUUCAGACUGUAACACCAUAAGGAAGCCUCUGUUACUUCCACCAAAACGGGAAGUGUCAGGUGUGCAAAGGAAGACUCACCAUGCUCCGUUAGAUAUUCCGCAUGGAGGAGCUCUGCAGCCAGUGACAGAGUAACAUACAAAAUACCAGACUACAGUACCAUUCAAUGAAGACCCGUUCCUCACACCUUGCUAUAAGAACAGGCUCAGGAGGGAAUUACUUAUUUCUUUUCUUCAUUCCACAAUUUCCCACAAGCUGAAAAACAUCAUUAGAAUUUCCCAAUUGCUUAGUUAGCAGCAGAUGUGGUACGUAUUGGACCAUGUACACAAAUUAGCCAGAAAUGUCCUCUCCCCUGACACCUUUAAUUCCCUGGUUCAUGGUGGGAUGUACAGCAAAAUCACCAGCUCAUUAUCAUGGCUACUUAAAAUCUAUCAGGAAUGUUAAAGGAGGAAACAGAAGUAACAAACACUUAUAAAAGCGGAUUUAGAUCAAUAUGUCUCUGCUGAAAAAAACUAAUUUAUGAAGAAUGUAUUAUAACAUGAAUGAACACCUGGAAAGCCAAUUAUAUGAACCCUUGUAGAGACGUGUUCCAUAGU